rnacentral:rRNA from 1 species
UGGGGAAUAUUGCACAAUGGGCGCAAGCCUGAUGCAGCCAUGCCGCGUGUGUGAAGAAGGCCUUCGGGUUGUAAAGCACUUUCAGCGGGGAGGAAGGCGUUAAGGUUAAUAACCUUGGCGAUUGACGUUACCCGCAGAAGAAGCACCGGCUAACUCCGUGCCAGCAGCCGCGGUAAUACGGAGGGUGCAAGCGUUAAUCGGAAUUACUGGGCGUAAAGCGCACGCAGGCGGUCUGUCAAGUCGGAUGUGAAAUCCCCGGGCUCAACCUGGGAACUGCAUAAGAAACUGGCAGGCUAGAGUCUUGUAGAGGGGGGUAGAAUUCCAGGUGUAGCGGUGAAAUGCGUAGAGCUCUUGAGGAAUACCGGUGGCGAAGGCGGCACCCUGGUCAAAGACUGACGCUCAGGUGCGAAAGCGUGGGGAGCAAACAGG